AUUUAUUAUCAAUUUGGCGCCGUUGCCAAUUGGGUGUUUGUUUGCUAUAUUUGAGAUUUCAGAAUUGUUAAGAUCAAGUUCGUUUUUGUUAUAAGAGAUACUAACAUUGUGUCUUUUCAGAAUUUGUAUUUCAGGUACUUAGCAACCAACUUUAUUCGUCUGUUAUAGUUAGGUUGAUACAUGUCAUACACGGUCACAAGGGAAUUAGAACUUCCUAUUCAACGAUAACAUCGACCGUAUUGCUCGCCAACUGAAAGAACGGACAGCAACAGACACAAUGGCUGACAUUGUAGAUGCGCAAGAGCAACCUAACAACAUUGGUGCUAGUGACUUCCCUCACAACCACAACCAGCGUCAUGGCAUUGUUCCACCUCCAGUACAAAACAACAACUUUGAGAUCAAAAGCAGUCUCAUUGCAAUGGUGCAGGGGAACAAGUUUCAUGGCUUGCCAAUGGAGGAUCCACUCGAUCAUCUAGACGAGUUUGAAAGGCUCUGUAGCCUUACUAAAAUCAAUGGAGUUAGUGAAGAUGGUUUCAAGCUUCGCUUGUUUCCAUUCUCACUUGGAGACAAAGCCCAUCUGUGGGAAAAGACGCUACCCCAGGGAUCAAUCACGACCUGUGAUGACUGCAAAAAAGCUUUCUUGGCAAAAUUCUUCUCCAACUCCAGAACUGCAAGACUCCAGAAUGAGAUAUCCGGAUUCACUCAGAAACAAAGUGAAAGUUUCUGUGAAGCUUGGGAACGCUUUAAGGGUUAUCAAACAAAAUGCCCUCAUCACGGAUUUAAGCAAGCUUCUCUUCUCAGCACACUCUACAGAGGCGUCUUGCCUAAGAUAAGGAUGCUACUUGACACCGCUUCAAAUGGGAAUUUCUUAAAGAAGGAUGUUGAAGAAGGGUGGGAGCUAGUUGAAAACUUUGCUCAGUCGGAUGGCAAUUAUAAUGAAGAUUAUGACAGAAGCAUCCGCACCAGUUCUGACUCUGAUGACAAGCACCGUAGAGACAUGAAAGCUCUCAAUGACAAACUAGACAAAAUCCUCCAAGUGCAGCAGAAACAUGUUCACCUCAUCUCUGAAGAUGAACCAUUCCAAGUAUAAGAGGGGGAGAAUGAUCAGUGUGCUUACAGCUAUGUUCAGAAUCAAGGUGGCUACAACAAGGGGUACAACAAUUACAGACCCAACCCAAAUCUGUCAUACAGAAGCACCAAUAUCGCCAACCCUCAUGACCAAGUCUACCCUCAGCAACAGCAAAACCAACCCAAACCCUUUAUUCCUUACAACCAAAGCCAAGGAUUCGUCCCAAAGAUGCAGUUUCAAGGAGGAUAUCAACAACAGCAACCACCACCUGGUUUCACACCACAUCAACAACAGCCAGUUGCGCCUCAGAAUUCAGACAUAAUGACUAUGCUCCAGCUGCUCAUUCAAGGACAAGCCACAGGAGCAAUGGAAAUCGCUAAGAAGUUGGGUAAAUUAAAUAACAAAGUCGACCGACAAAGCGUCGAACUUAACAGCAAGUUCGAAUCACUGAGCACUAGGAUGAGAUAUGUGGAAGGCAUCCUCGCUACACCAUCUGUUAACAACAACCCAGGCCAGCUUCCAGGGAAAGCAAUCCAGAAUCCUAAGGAGUACGCCACUGCUCACGCCAUCAAUAUCUGCCAUGAUCGAGAGCUGCCAACUCGACAUGCCUCUACCUCCAUCACUAGGGACAGUGAAGUUCAAGAAGGGGAGGAUUUUGUUCAGAAUGAAAUUCAAGCUAAAAUAGCAUUAGAGGAGCCCAUACUCGAUCAGAGUACUCGAUCCCAAGCUCAAGUAGUACUUUCUUCAGUUAAAAAGACUGCAUCUGCUAAAACCAAGGAUAAAGUCUUUGUUCCUCCACCCUACAAGCCUCCAUUACCAUUUCCAGGGAGAUUUAAGAAGCAACUGAUGAAGAAGUAUGAAGCUCUCUUGGAAAAAAAAUUGAAGGACCUUGAAAUCACAAUGCCUCUAGUAGACUGUCUUGCGCUAAUACCGGACUCACACAAACGUGUGAAGGACAUGAUUACAGAGAGGAUCACAGAAGUUCAAGGAACAGUGGCGUUACCUCACGAGUUUAGUGCAAUCAUCCAGAAGAACAUUAUUCAAGAAAAGUUGGAAGAUCCGGGAUCUUGUACUCUACCAUGCUCUAUUAGGCAACUGACUUUCAGCAACUGUCUAUGUGAUCUAGGAGCUUCAGUCAGCGUAAUGCCACUUUCUGUGGCAAGGAAGCUGGGAUUUUUCAAAUAUAAGCCAUACGACCUAUCCUUGAUCCUUGCUGAUAGGACCUUAAGAAAACCUUAUGGCCUACUAGAAGAUAUGCCUAUCAAGAUUAAUGGAGUACAAGUGCCUACAGAUUUUGUUGUGCUUGAGAUGGAUGAAGAACCUAAGGAUCCUCUCAUCCUAGGAAGACGUUUCUUGGCCUUAGUUGGAGCAGUGAUAGACGUCAAAGAUGGAAAGAUUGAAAUCAAUCUUGGGAAGGAUAUCAGGUUACAGUUUGACAUCAACAAAACUCCAAGAAGAUCAACCAUAGAGGGACAGACCUUUGGGGUCCAAGGAGUGGUUACAGAAGAAAGAUUUGAAACUGAAAGAGUAAAGGAACCGAGUUUAGCUCCAACACGACCUUCAAGCUCAACCACUCAGUCUAGUACGCUCUCUGUAGUUGAUUGGCUAGAACUUAAAAGGAAUUCUGAUCUCCAAGAAGAAACCAUCCAGAAGCUAGCUUGCACUGUUGAAGAAGUUAGGGAUACAGUGAGUCAGAUGCAAAGGGAAGCUAUUCAACCUCAACUCGGCAUUGAAGUUAUACCAAAGAAGAAGUUCGUUUCAGAAUGGUGUGAAGAAGAAGACUACCCACAAGAAAUUAAAGAAGCUUACAAGGAAAGGGCCAUUGAGUGCUCAAUUACAGACAUGUCAAGAGAGCAAGCUAAGUCCGAUGUUGUAUCUGCUAAGGAAGAAGAGAAGAUUUCAAUUCUUCUCUAUCACCCUCCUUAAGUCUUAUGAGUGUGAGGAGUCAAGCUAGAGACUUAAAACAAGCUCACUUGGGAGGAAGUCCCAUGUCUAUCUUCGUAAAUAUCUUUUAUUUUUCCUUGUUAUUUUUAAUACAUUCUAUUAGAGUUUUCAGGAGAUAAGAAUGAAGAGCUGAGGGAAAUGGAUUCUGGCUUUGAGGGAACAACAAUACACUCGACCACAGAGCAAUCAAAGACACUCGACAUUGUUCUGGCUUCUCCACGCUAGGAAAUCACUCGACCACACCCUACAGGGAGCGAAUGAAGAUGUGAUCGAGUAUAGCGAAUGAUGCAAUCACGACUUCCCCAUGUCAGUAAUUCACUCGACCGCGGUGCUGGCUGCAGCAGAAGAAGAGAGGUCGAGUACCCCCAAGGGGAAGCUGAGACACAACAGGGAGAUUCGUCGAUGGCCUGGGAGUAAUCACAGGCAGCUAUUGACGACCAACUCCGCUCCUUCUUCCACUGAGGUAUGCACCUCACUCCACCAUUGUAAUAUACCAUCUCUUGUUUUUAUUUUGUUUUUGUGAUGUGUUUUGUCCUGAGUACUCUCUUCCAAAUUUGGUCGCACAGUGGACUGUGUGAUUUAAGUUUGGGGGAGGGCUCAGGAAGUGUGUGUUGCAUUGUAUAUAAUCUUGAGUCUGCAUUCAUCUAAGGCAUAGAAAAACAAAAAAAAAAAUGAAAAAUU
rnacentral:sRNA from 1 species